rnacentral:rRNA from 1 species
AUUAAACGCUGGCGGCAUGCCUUACACAUGCAAGUCGAACGGCAGCACGGGGCAACCUGGUGGCGAGUGGCGAACGGGUGAGUAAAGCAUCGGAACGUGCCCUGGAGUGGGGGAUAACGUAGCGAAAGUUACGCUAAUACCGCAUAUUCUGUGAGCAGGAAAGCAGGGGAUCGCAAGACCUUGCGCUCUGGGGAGCGGCCGAUGUCGGAUUAGCUAGUUGGUGGGUAAAGGCCUACCAAGGCGACGAUCCGUAGCGGGUCUGAGAGGAUGAUCCGCCACACUGGGACUGAGACACGGCCCAGACUCCUACGGGAGGCAGCAGUGGGAAUUUGGACAAUGGGCGCAAGCCUGAUCCAGCCAUGCCGCGUGAGUGAAGAAGGCCUUCGGGUUGUAAGCUCUUUCGGUCCGGGAAGAAUUGCAUGGUCAAUACCUCGUGUGGAGUGACGGUACCGGAAUAAGAAGACACCGGACUAACUACGUGCCAGCAGCCGAACC